rnacentral:tRNA from 1 species
UUAAUUGAAACCAAAAUGAGGUAACUUAUUGUUAAUAAGAUAAUUGAAUAUAUUAUUCCAAUUAAA